rnacentral:tRNA from 1 species
GCAUCAGUGGUCUAGUGGUUAUGAUUCUAGUCUUCCAUGAUAGGAAAUUCCUUCCUUAUCUCAUAGCAAACUGGAGAGGGGGGUUCGAUUCCCUCCUGAUGCA